GUUUGUGAGGGUGUUGCCAAAGGAGAUUAACAUCUGAGUCAGUGGGCUGGGAAGGCAGAUCCACCCUUAAUCUGGACGGCCACAAUCUAAUCAGCUGCCAGUGAAUAUAAAGCAGGCAGAAAAACAUGAAAAGGUUAGAUGGGCCUAGCCUCUCAGCCUACAUCUUUCUCCCAUGCUGGAUGCCUCCUGCCCUCAAACAUCGGACUCCAAGUUUUUCAGUUUUGGAACUCGGACUGGCUCCCCUUGCUCCUCAGCCUAGACAGCCUAUUCCGCGACCUUGUGAUCAUCCAUGUCUAUUCGACUUUUCCACAUUGAGCAUGAUUCAUUGAAGUUUUUGUUAUACUGAAGCGUGGUUCUCCUCCUCUGCUGGCACUGGUAUGUCAUCGCCUCUGGGCUGCUUAGAAGACUCCUUUAGCAUGUGCUAUUUCCAUAGCACCUCUCUGCAACCUUCAUCUUUCUUUGUGAGUCUCUUCCUCCUGACCAUGUGGUAGCUCCAUUCUGAAACCAGAAUUAUAAAUAAAUAAAGACUUGGAUUUGCCUCUGUCUUUCCCCACACUUAAUACUUCCUGCUCCUGUUCACCAAGGAGGAGAUUUUCUCCCAACCAGUGACUUCAGCUUCAAUUAGGAGUUCCAAAGCAAUCCUGGCACUCUUGGCUUUAGCAUCCUUUCUCAAAUGUCUUGGAAUAACUGCCAAGCACUGUAUUGGAGACCAUAACAUUACCUAGGAUCUCCCAGGGACCAAGAACCACUGUCUCCUUGAAUUCUGGAUGAUCUGCUACUUCACAAUAAGUUCCAAACUCAUAAAGAGUAUCCAAAGCCCCAGAGUUUGAGGGUAAUCUUUGUUUCCCUCCUUGUUCAAGACAGUACAUUUUACUGACCUGGUAUAUUCUUUAUCUAUUGCUGCAUUGAAAAUUACUCCAGUUGGGCUACAGUCAACACAAGGUUCAACUGGGACAAGAUAUACUUCCAAACUCAUCCGGUGGCUGUUGGCAGGUUUCACUUCCUUUUGGGCCGUUGGGCUGAGGACCCAGUUCUCUGCUGGAUGCUGACUAGAAGCUGCCCUGGAUUUCUUGCCUUGCAGGUUCCUCCAACAUGGCAGCUGGUUUCAGCAUCAAAGCACACAAGCCAAGAAGUCAAUAGAGAGGAGAAAGCAGCA
rnacentral:lncRNA from 1 species